AAAAGCAAAUACAAUCGCAGAGAUUUAGCACCAAAUUCUGGACCUACCUCGGAGUCUGGGUGUUGUCUAUGCUAUGGGUACAGUAUAAAAAGUGGGGCUAUAUAGAGCAGCGACCAGGGGUGACAGGAGCCACAUGUUUGGGGGAGCGGAAGAUCUGUGGUUUGUUAGAACCAGUGUCAUUUUUACUUUCCCAUCAUUAUCACCCAGAUUUCAGAGCUGAGAUCUCUCAAAAAGCCUGGGAAUGAAACUUCCAGACACCGCAACAGAACAAGUAAUUUUUACGAAGAUCUUCAAUGACAGCAUAGAACUUAGCAAUAAUGGAGCACAAGAAUCGGAGAAUUGACAGGAAACAAUACACAUGGAAUAAAGAUUGAUAUCUUGUUUCUACGUACGCCUGUUUUCACACCUGUGGACAGGUAUGUUGGAAUUUGUAAUUGUACAAAGCCUACCUUCCAUGAGGUUGCUGAGUUGUUGGACGUAAAUGACAAUACUCCUGAGAACGGUCCGAACUUUUCUCCUUUCUGUACGAGUUGCUUAGUCCAGACUCCCAGUCCUGGAAACGCAUGAGACUCCUCGCAACUCAAACCGGUCCGGAAUUGGAAUAUCUUCCGGGAUGUAGACCGGAGGAUGUUCAGACUUUACUUCCCCGGAAGUGGAUGCUGCUGGAUUUAAUUCAUCGUGCACAUCCUCAGCUGUCUCGUACUCUUCAUCACUACCAUCUGUUGAAAACAAAAUAGUUUUUUCAAAACUUUUGAAAGUGAUACUAGAUGUGUAUAAGCUUUUAUUCAUUGGAGAUGUUUUUUUAAUAACACGGCGCUUGGAAAGAGACGGGUUCAUAUUCCAGUAGCAUAAAUCAGCAGAAUAAAACAAUUUCCCACGAGAUCAAAAACCUAACUUUCACAAACAGAAAUAGCAAUUUACUGACAGAAAAAUGGGAGACGUCUUAUUCAGACUAAUUUGUACAGGUGUUAGAAAACACCUGUUAAUUUUCCCUUUUUACAGCUCUAUAAUGCGUGCUUUAGUUCGAAUCGAGGAAUCCUGAAGACAUCAACCUAAUUGUCUAGAGAAAGGGCCGAGUCUUGCACAACUGACUUUUCAGAAUGUCAUCAUUGCUUUUAUUGACAGCGCCAGUUGGGUACAUACUUACAAAAAAAAUAAACAAACAAACGAAGCUGUCAUUUAAAACCCAACCAGCGACGGAAAGAAAAUUCUUAUAUGAAAUUGAAUAUUAAAAAAACCAAGAGACAUUCCAAUUUUAAUAAGAGUACCUUUACCUCAUGACACCGAUAUGAGUAACUCCAUUAGAUGAGAGAGUUUUACAAAUUUUAUCUAGUAUUCUAAAUAUCAUUUAAUGGCAUAAAUCAUAAAUAUUAC
rnacentral:sRNA from 1 species